rnacentral:lncRNA from 1 species
CUAAAGUAUAAAAUAAUGAAUUUGAUUUCUAACUUGUGUGUGUUUGAAUUCACAGUUUAGAAGAGACAACUCUUAAAUAUGUUGGAUCUUUAAAGAAGUUUGUCCCCAAAAUUAUACAAAUAUAAGAUACAUGGAUGAAAAAGAAGGUAAAAUAAAAGCUCUUCUAUAUGCAUCCAUUUAGUACUAAAACAAAUCAAAUCACAUAUCGCACAUGAAAAAAAAUGUUUAUAACCAAAACACUUACAAAAAUCACGUAGAUUAUGUCUCUAAUUGGUAGAAAUUAAGUUUUCACCAAUAGGUCAGUGUAUGGCAUUGCCUUUGUCUUACGCAACAGUUUUCUUUUGAAACAACAAGGCUUUGUGAAAAUUAUACUUGUAGCUACCUCUUAGAGAACGAUUUUUUAAAUUUACAAUGACAACAGUUUUACGUUGUUGCGAAGUUAAAACCGUUUUUCUAUUUAUUUUAAUUAAGGUACGACAACGCUAUAUAACCGUUUUGUUGUAAUAUACUAUAAUAAAUUUAAUAUUACCUAGAACAAUCCACUAAAAAUACAAAACGCAAAGAACACAACAUUAUUAAUCUGCAUUCAUAUCCUGGACCUACAAAUAAAAUUAAAGCAAACGCUAAACCCUAAACCCUAAACCUCUUAGAGAACGAUUUUUUAAAUUUACAAUGACAACAGUUUUACGUUGUUGCGAAGUUAAAACCGUUUUUCUAUUUAUUUUAAUUAAGGUACGACAACGCUAUAUAACCGUUUUGUUGUAAUAUACUAUAAUAAAUUUAAUAUUACCUAGAACAAUCCACUAAAAAUACAAAACGCAAAGAACACAACAUUAUUAAUCUGCAUUCAUAUCCUGGACCUACAAAUAAAAUUAAAGCAUAUCCCUUUCGUUUUUUUAGAGCGGUUGUUAUGCCACAGUCACUUCGAUUUUUAGAGCGGCCGUUAUGCCGCAGUCCCUUUGUUUUAUAGAGCGGUCGUUAUGCCGUAGUUAUGAGUGGUCGUAGCACCAUAUUGUGAAUGACUUUANN